UAAUUAAAAAGCUAUAAGCAUUUCCGUUGUUACCGGAAGGAAGAAUUUUAUGUAU
rnacentral:tRNA from 1 species